AACGAACGCUGGCGGCGCGCUUAACACAUGCAAGUCGAACGAGAAGGCGUAGCAAUACGCUUGUAAAGUGGCGAACGGGUGAGGAAUACAUGGGUAACCUACCCUCGAGUGGGGAUAACCCGCCGAAAGGCGGGCUAAUACCGCGUACGCUUCCGAUCUUGCGGGAUCGGAAGGAAAGCUGUCCCUUGGGGAUGGCGCUCAAGGAUGGGCUCAUGUCCUAUCAGCUUGUUGGCAGGGAACGGCCUACCAAGGCAUCGACGGGUAGCUGGUCUGAGAGGACGAUCAGCCACACUGGCACUGCGACACGGGCCAGACUCCUACGGGAGGCAGCAGUGAGGAAUAUUGCGCAAUGGGCGAAAGCCUGACGCAGCGACGCCGCGUGGGGGAUGAAGGUCUUCGGAUUGUAAACCCCUUUCGGGUGGGAAGACGGCCCUAGACAACUAGGGCGGACGGUACCGCCAGAAGCAGCCACGGCUAACUUCGUGCCA
rnacentral:rRNA from 1 species